AUGUCAGCCCCAGAGAUGAAGUCCUCUGUCUAUAGAGCAGGUACAACACAAGGAGUAGUAAUGGAAGCUCCUGCACACUAACCUGUUGGGAUGCCUGGUCCCUGAUGUGGAGAGGGUACACCCCAAGAGGUGAGAUGGUGGUUCAUUCUCCAUGCCCAUUCAGUCCUAGGGUCCU
ensembl:misc_RNA